rnacentral:sRNA from 1 species
UCUGGCUCUAUAGUUAAGAGUUAUUAAUGAAAAUCAAAAGUAAAAGUAAAUUCUUAGAAUCCCAUCGUAAAAGUUGUUAUCCUAAUAUUUCCCUUACAUGAUUAGCUACAUUAAAUAAUUCAUGCUUCAGCACCUUGCGCAUUUGCGCAGUAAUCCAAUGAAUUCUAUAUAAGGGACAAAUUAUGUCUAACAAAGCAACUGGUACAGUAAAGUGGUUCAACGAAACUAAAGGUUUUGGUUUCCUAUCUCAAGACAACGGCGGCGCGGAUGUGUUUGUACACUUCAACGCAAUCGCUUCUGAGGGUUUCAAAACUCUUAUCGAAGGUCAAAAAGUAUCAUUCGUCGUUGAAAACGGCCAAAAAGGUUUACAAGCUGCUCAAGUUGUAACUCUAUAAUUUACUGAUACUCAUCAGAAUAUUUAAAGGUCGCCUAGGCGGCCUUUUUG